GCUCUUUUGAAAAACUGUUGAAAAACUGCAGACAAAUCAAAUGAAUUAUGACCAGCGAGACUCUCUCUCUCUCUCUCUCUCUCUCUCUCUCUCUCUCUCUGACAUCACUGGGAACUUGUGCGUAUAAAGUAAACACAAGAAUGCAGCGCGUCAGGCAAGGGAGUGUGAGCACAGACAGAGGGCCCUUUCUUACACAGGGUGGGCAGGGCAGGGAGAAGUGACUCUGCCCUGAGAGAGUGACACACACAGGGAGAGAGGAAGAGAGAGAGAGGCAGAAAGAGCGUAAUUCAAUACAGACCAAGUAUGGGGCAAAAUUGAGAGCUUAGAGUAUAUCAACAAUAAGCAGCAGCAGAUAUUGAAGAGGAUAUACAAGGAAGAGGAAAGGAGGAAGAGGAGCUUUACUGGCCUGGACUUCUAAAGUGUUUGCCGGCUUUUAGGUUGGACAGAGCAGGGUCUCAAGCUUCCUAAAUAGCUGUAGCUUAUGCAUGCAGUCAUAACAGUUUCUGCCCCAUCCUGGCUUUGUGUUGCCACUGAAAGCAUCUUUCUGUCUACCGCUGAUCCUAGGCCAAGACAAUGUUAGGUAAUUAUGUUACAUGGUUGUUAUUUUACAUGAAUUUUACAGCCUGGCUAGGUUACAACGUAGAUAAUAUGAUGUCAUGAUCGAUGAAAUGGGGAUGUUGGGGUGAAGAAUAAGACAUCGAUAUCUUUUCUCCCCAUUAAAAGCAUUGAGGGUUGAAUUAAUUCUUUGAAUUGUCAAUGUAUGUUUGAAAACUAGUCUCUAAGGUCUUCACAGCCUCUGUAAGUACAUGUGGAGUGCCCUACAAAAGACCUGUGACCAUUUUGAACUUUGGUGAGGAAAACGUUCUCACACCUUGCUAGGAAAUGCUAAUGAGUCAUAGUGAUACUCAUUUAUUUCAGUCAACACGUCUUCCUAUGUGUGAUCAUUUAGUGGGCUGUAUGUCUCAACAUCAGGCUCAACUUCAUCAAACAUGAAAUGCAAAGGCCUUCAUACAUGAAUAAUGGAUAAGCUUACAUUUAAUGGAUUUGGUGAACAAAUUCGUUUAGAGGAAAUGGGGAUCUUAAUGUUGACAAACUGCAAGUAGGUACAGCCUUCUUACUUCAACGCUACAAAAUAGCAGCAGCGCACUGUUUCCUGUUGAGUGAUGCGGGAACGGAAGGGAAACUGACUAUGGGUAAACCGAUUUCACCUAUGGGCUGUGAGACAUAAAACAUAAUGCACAGCCUAUUUGCAGUUCAGUUGCAGUCAGAUACACUUGGCUUAGAAUGUGGAGCAGGCAAUAGAGGACAGAGGAAAAACCUGGCCAACAUUUUAAUAUCCAUAAUCCUAGUCACCGUAAACCUAUAAACUAGAGACAGCUACCAUUUGACCUCCUGGCUAGCCAUAAAGGUUACCAUUCAUCCAAGUUGCAGUGGAAUGCUACAAUCAGUUAAUGUUAAAGUCAAAACCAUCAAAGCUAGGUUCUGUCCAUCAUUGCCAAUCCCCUCAGAGCUCCAUUAGCUGGUACAUUUAAAUUAGUCCAGAACGAGUGCAUUUCCCUCUAUGGUGCAAUCAGGCAGCCAGAGCCAUGACUUUCUCCUCCAACUUUAAUGAGAGUAAAGCUGAAUAAUAUACUUGAGCAGGAGAGGGAAGAGGGGGGAGAGAGCGAAGAGGCACCAGG
ensembl:lncRNA